AACGAACGCUGGCGGCAUGCCUAACACAUGCAAGUCGAACGAGACCUUCGGGUCUAGUGGCGCACGGGUGCGUAACGCGUGGGAAUCUGCCCUUGGGUUCGGAAUAACAGCGAGAAAUUGCUGCUAAUACCGGAUGAUGACGUAAGUCCAAAGAUUUAUCGCCCAAGGAUGAGCCCGCGUAGGAUUAGCUAGUUGGUGAGGUAAAGGCUCACCAAGGCGACGAUCCUUAGCUGGUCUGAGAGGAUGAUCAGCCACACUGGGACUGAGACACGGCCCAGACUCCUACGGGAGGCAGCAGUGGGGGAAUAUUGGACAAUGGGCGAAAGCCUGAUCCAGCAAUGCCGCGUGAGUGAUGAAGGCCUUAGGGUUGUAAAGCUCUUUACCCGGGUAUGAUAAUGACAGUACCGGGAGAAUAAGCCCCGGCUAACUCCGUGCCAGCAGCCGCGGUAAU
rnacentral:rRNA from 1 species